rnacentral:snoRNA from 14 species
CUUGGCCCUAGGUGUUGCCGAUGUGGUGGCUAUGUUACAUGAGCCAGUAGGUGGCAGAGAGGACAGCGGUUGUAUCUUAUGCUCAGUGUUCUGACCUGUGAACAUCAGAAUGAUUAGUAGCUUACAUU